rnacentral:lncRNA from 1 species
UUUUUUUUUUUUUCCCAAUCACGUCCAUUUAUUGACUAAACCAAUACUGAGUAAAGAGAAAACUAGCCUUUGGGACAGGUGCCUGGGAAGUGUGGGGAGGGGUCACUUGUAAAACUCAUGUUCCUGCUCAUCUUUCUUGAUCACGGUCUUGUAUGCUUUCUCGAAGUCUUUGGCCAGGACAAUGUAGCGGUUCUCACAGACAGUCAACAUUCCAGUCUCCUGACAGAUGGAGUUGAUAUCGGCUCCUGAAAUCUUAUCUGGGCAGGCCACAUAGUCUUCUAGGUCGACCUCCUCAGAAAGGUUCAUCUUGCUGGUGAUGGUGGAGAAAAUCAACCUCUUUUUGGUGACGAUCAGGGAGUGGGAAUUCAAUUUUGUGGUCUAGGCGUCCUGGCCGAAGUAGAGUUGGAUCCAAGGUGUCUGUUCUGUUUGUGGCCAUGAUUGCCUUCACACUGAUGUUUUGGUCAAAUCCAUCCAUUUGAUUCAGUAGCUCCAGCAGGAUCCUCUGAACCUCCCUGUCAGCUCCGGUCUGGGCAUCGAAUCUCUUGGUGGCAAUGGCAUCAAUUUCAUCUAUGAAGAUGAUGGCAGGUGCAUUCUCCUUGUCCAGGAGGAACACAUCCCAGAUCAUUCGGGGGCCCUCACCCAGGUACUUAUGAACAAACUCUGAACCCACCACACGGAUAAAUGCAGCUGUCAUGUGAUGUGCCACUGCCUUUUCUAACAUGGUCUUUCCACAGCCAGGUGGGCCAUACAUGAGGACCCCUCAGGGAGGAUCGAUGCCAACCUGCUUGUAGAGCUCGAAGUGUGUAAGUGGGAGUUCCAUUGCCUCCCGCACCUCCUGUUUCUGGAUGUCCAUGCUUCCUGUAUCAGCGUACAUCACGUUGGGCUUCUGGUCUGAGGUGAGCAUCAUGAUGCUGCUUUCGGCCUCGGGAGGCAGCACAUUCACCAGUGCGUUGCUGUGCUUGUGGAGGGUCACUGAGGCAUUGGGUUUGAGCAGCUCCCGAUCAAUGGUACUCAGGAUGCACACAUAACAGUUAGAGCCUGUGGUAGAGCCCACAAUGGUUGUGUUCUGAUCCACAACUUCCAAAAACUGACCAAUGACCAACGGAAUGCUCUGGAUUUGCUUUACCUCCUCCUGGGCAUGGAGGAACUCCUUCUUCAGGUUCUUCUGUUCAUCCUUGAUAUAUUCCUCCUGCACCUCCAGGAACUCCAGCUCUUGCUACAGCUUCUUGUAGAGGCUGUAUACGUCCUCCAGGUCUUCAGGUUCAGGUUGCAGAAAGGACAGACCAGUCUGCAGCCGAGACACGGACAGUGCUGGCAUCUCAUCCUGAAUUUUCUCCACCAAA